AUGAGCACGCCGCGUGAGUGAGAAGGGUUUCGGCUCGUAAAGCUCUGUUGGUAGUGAAGAAAGAUAGAGGUAGUAACUGGCCUUUAUUUGACGGUAAUUACUUAGAAAGUCACGGCUAACUACGUGCCAGCAGCCGCGGUAAUACGUAGGUGGCAAGCGUUGUCCGGAUUUAUUGGGCGUAAAGCGAGUGCAGGCGGUUCAAUAAGUCUGAUGUGAAAGCCUUCGGCUCAACCGGAGAAUUGCAUCAGAAACUGUUGAACUUGAGUGCAGAAGAGGAGAGUGGAACUCCAUGUGUAGCGGUGGAAUGCGUAGAUAUAUGGAAGAACACCAGUGGCGAAGGCGGCUCUCUGGUCUGCAACUGACGCUGAGGCUCGAAAGCAUGGGUAGCGAACA
rnacentral:rRNA from 1 species